GGAGGGCUGAGUUUUCCCUCAAAGCUCUAUAUCACAUCUCCCUUAUAACACAAAACAACAAGCUCCAGAGCCAGAUGUUAUGGUCCAGAGGGGUUGCUUCUCGUGUUCAUCGAUAUGCUGUCACCUUUGUAGAAAUAGAGGUUUGAUUGUUGAUUUGCUGAGUGUCACCUGACCUGCGCCCUGAAUCACCCCAAGAGAGAGAUGGGCCUUACCCUACAAGGAUUCAUGAAGACACAUGCACAGCCAUGGGUGUGGUGAAUCUAAAAUGAGCAAAUGUGUGGACAAUUAACCUGGUCGGACUCAACCCUCAGACCUGGAUACUCGGCAGGUGCUCACGGCUCAGGUCGAUUCCUUCGGGCUCCACUGCACCUGCCCCAUGGAAGAGCUGUUCUCAGCUUAGCCAAAGAUUUGAGUAGAGUCAACACAGAGAAUUUGGGGCUCCUAUUCCCUGGCUCCGUUCUUUCCUGGAUUCCUUCUUACUUUUGAGUGGCUAUGGUUUCCCUGAAUUCUCUAUCCCAGUUCUUCAAACCAUACAAACUGUGGGUUUUCUAUCAGAAUUUUAGCACCUCUGUGGUACAGACUGCAGCCUCUCCUCUGGCUGGAAAGUGUAAAAAUAAAAACUCA